rnacentral:lncRNA from 1 species
CCUGGCUCUCCACUCUCCUGCUUUGGGUGUCCAAGGACAGGACCUCCAGCCUAGCUUCUUGAGGCCAAACCUCUCCCUCUCUCUCUGCCCCAAAAGCCACCUCCCAGUCUUCCUGAGAAGCUGAUGCUCCCUUAAAAUCUGCUGCCCCCAGCUCUCCGCUGUCCAUUAUGAAUCGGCCACAGGUGAGGCACCCGUUCUCAGCUAUUAGAACAUGUUCACUGAAGUUGUCCCCUGCCUACCAUUUGAAGGUCCACUCAACAGACUCCUCUCAAAGCCAAGAAAACAUGUGCUUCUCCUGACCUGCUGGAGGGGGAGUUUCUACCACAGGGCUGAGCACUAGGACAGAGGCUUCACAGAAACUAAUCAUCUCUCCCUUCUCUCCCUCUGUGCCUUGGAUGUGUUUCCACUGAUGCACUUAAUACCUCAAGAUGUGGUUUGUUUACCUGUCGGUCUCCUCACUGGAGUCCAGUCCUUUAGGGCGUAUCUUUUCAUCUGACAUCCCCAGGGCCCAACACUGAAAUUUCGUGGAAAUGAGUGUUGCUGGGACGGUCGUUGAAAGGCAGUGUAGCGUAGGGGUGAAGUCAGAGGGCCUAGGAUCACAUUCCCAGCUCCACUGCUUGCCAGCUAUAUAGCCUUUGGAGGAGUCGUUUAAAUGUGGUAUGCCUCAGUUUCCUCAUCUGUAAAAUGGGACAAAAACAGCACCCACCUCAUAAAGUUACGUGAGGACUGAAUGAGUUAACAACCUAUCUCCUCUCACCUACAGUGCACCAUGAUUUUAGAUCCCACAAAGAAAGAAGGAAAGGCUGCGACACAGUCUGUGACACAGUGCUUUUUUAGCAGUGUCAGAGAUGAUAAAAAAAAAAUGUUUAAAAUGUCUGCAUAAAACAGGAGAGUAACUACAUACAAUACAUGCUAUCUACGUGACAGCUACUGUCACUGUUGUUGAACUGCUUUCUCACAAAAGCCCCAUGAUGAGUGAGUUAAUCCUCACUUCACAGAUGAGGAAACAGAGAUUUGGAGAGAUGAAGGCUCUUGGGGCCAGUGAACCCUCAGCAGGCAUUUAAACCUGCCUUUGAGGUGCAAUAAUCUACAGUUAUUACAAUAGCUGGCAGUCGCCCACCAAGCUACCAGGGAGUUAGGAGCUGGGUUUUGUUCUCAAUUGCAUUAGCUUUCCUUAAUCUAAGUUUCUUCCCCCUCUGGUAUAAUAACUCUGCUUCUUCCUCCCCCUCCUCCCUUGUACUUGGCUCUGAUCUUGUUACUUUUCUGUUAAUGGCUCCGGGUUUUACUGUAUCUGCUAUUUGAAUGGUAAAGGGACCUCGAAUCUCUUAUGGAGGUAGGAGGGGUAUAAAUAAAUAGAAAGGUCAAAAUUCGCUUUUAAAGAUGACGCAUCGCAAGAAAAAGUGAGAGAGAAUAUGCCCACGGUCACACAUGGGGAUGUAUAUAUGUGGACACCCUGAGUAUCCACACCCGCAGUGCUCCCUCCAGUGCUACCGCUGAGAGACUCUGAUGCUAGGUGUCCCGACACAGUGCAGAACUCGGCUUGCCCCUCAAGCUGACUUAUCUGUCACCCCAGACUCAGUUUUUUUCCCAUAACCCAGUGAGACGCUAUAGAGUAAAGAGGUAGAGAGGAGCUUGAGAGGUUAUGGGGGCUGGAGAUAGCAAACUCUUCUAGGACCUUCUCUGGGGGCUGGAGGUAGCGAACUCUUCUAGGACCUUCUCAGGCUCUCCUUGGUACCUACCCCCCAAAAGAACUAUCCGCCUGAACAAGUGUUAAGUUUCUAGCUCACUAUUGCAAUGAGUCUGAGGCAAAGGAGAGCAUCCCAUUAGCUCCAAACUAAAGCAGUGUAAAAGGUGAGUAUCACUGUUUUUAACAUCAGAAAGGGAACCACCAAGAUGUAUUUUGUUUAGGGUUUUGUGGUCUCCCCACAACCGAGGCAGCCGAGGACCCAUGGCUGUCAAGAUCACAGAAGGAUUCCACUUGCCACUUCUGCCCAUCGCUUCACCAAGUGAGGAACCCCAAUUUUCUACCUCUUCCGCCAAGCUUGUAGUGUUCAUGUUAACAGAUAACCAACAGAACAGGGCACAGUAUUGUCCUGGGUUUUUGCCUCCCAAGUAGGGAAGCCACGGGCUGGCCAGAGAGUUGUAUUUUGUGAAUUCGCGUAGGUUUUUCGGGAAGGGAUCAGGGUGGAAGGGGUCUUUCCAAAACCCCUCUCAACCCUCCCACAUGACCUGAGACCAGAGAGGGGCUGCAAGCUGGGUGAGGAAGGGAGUUUGAGAAGGGCGAUUGCACAGAGGGCUUUGCCACGGGAAGCAGUGAGAACAUGCCAUCCCUCAGUACCCCUGAAUGAAGCCUACUGUUCUUCCUCCAAGACUGAAUAAAAAUGUAUUCUACGCUCAGAUCCACCAGACAAAGAAGGAAUAUAGCAACAAAGCAGGGGAGAGAUGAAAAUGGGCAGUCGGCUGUUCAUUCACAUACAUGUAGUUCAUCUGCAAGGCUUCCAAGAAAGCAGCCGCACACCAAAUCCUUUCCGACGCUGCUGUAUCUGAGCCUCCUGUGAGAUAAUCCUCUUAAUGGAAUAUUUAAGAAAUCGGAUAUAAAUCACCAACCUUUUAUCUCACCUGAAGAUCCAUACUCCAUUGGACGGAUGGUGUAUAUGUCUCUCUCCAUACGGAUGGGUGCAGGUGACUUUUCGAGCGGAGGUGGCAAUCUCUGCUUUUUUUAUUUUGAAGAUACGGUUGUAAAGUUAUAAAUUUUAGAGAUCAGAGCCCAGAAAACAGCUGCACCUAGAGACAAUUAAAACACACAUCCCUUGGAAAAAACCUUUUUUGUCAUUUGCAACCAACAAAAAUGCCUGUUAUUGUGAUGUGCUCAUAAAUAACUUGAUUUUGGCAUAUGCUUUUGUACCAAACAGAAGAUGAAUAAAUUAAAUUUGAUUUACAACCUUUUUCAUUUUUAUUAGCACUGCUCUGAAGAGUUUAUGUAAGGGACGUGCCAGAGCAGUUAUGCCAAAUGUUUUAAGGCGUUGGUAUUGAUAUUAUAUAAAUUAAGG